rnacentral:lncRNA from 1 species
CCAUCAUCUUCUUCAAAUAACCCCCUGCCGCCGCUCCUCCCCCACCGCAACCACCCACCCCCUUCUUCCUUCAGCCCACAAGAACAGAUCUGAAUCCAAACAAAGCAUAAAGAAGAUUGUACAGUUGAUUCAAAUCACAAACCACCAAUCGAUCCUUACAAAUCAUCUAAGUUUACUCUAGGUUUUAUUAUACAUCUAAAUCCGACUCCUCUUCUGAAAACCCUAAUCCUCAUCAUUCUGAAAACGAAAUCCAUGACCACCAACCUACCGACGUUGACGAUGUCAGCAGUGCAGCUUAAAACACAAAUAGACAAGUUUUACAAGGGUGAUUUUGAAGCAAUACCAACCAUUUUUGAAUCUAUAUUAAAAAGGAAGUAAGCAGGAAAUCAUGAAGAUUCAGAUGAUGAAUUGAUGAAUGAGUUUCGAGAGGGCCAACCAAAUGUAGUUAUUGAUGAAGAGUUUGAUUCCAGUUCCAGUUCAAAUUCUGAUGAAUAGGUAAUGACAUGCCUCAAAUCAAACUGUAUGUAGUGAUGCUAUGCUUGUUAAUGUGCGUGUGAGAGCUCACCAGUUAUUGUUUCGUUGCACACAUUUUUGUGAGGGAAAAUAUUAUGGGUUAUUUCAAGACUCAACAGGUCAGAUAAUACAUUCUUACAUUAGUAUGCAGACAUAAAAAAUUGCUACUUUACAUCGACUGGUUGGCAGCUUUGAUCAAUGAUUUUUUGUCUUUUGAUGAUGAUAAAUUGGUGUUUCUAUUAUAUUGUAGAGUGUUUGUUCA